rnacentral:rRNA from 1 species
GAUGAACGCUGGCGGCGUGCUUAACACAUGCAAGUCGAACGAAGCAUUUUAAACAGAUUAUUUCGGUAUGAAGUUUUUAAUGACUGAGUGGCGGACGGGUGAGUAACGCGUGGGUAACCUGCCUUAUACAGGGGGAUAGCAGCUGGAAACGGCUGGUAAUACCGCAUAAGCGCACAGCAUCGCAUGAUGAAGUGUGAAAAACUGAGGUGGUAUAAGAUGGACCCGCGUCUGAUUAGCUAGUUGGUGAGAUAACAGCCCACCAAGGCGACGAUCAGUAGCCGACCUGAGAGGGUGACCGGCCACAUUGGGACUGAGACACGGCCCAGACUCCUACGGGAGGCAGCAGUGGGGAAUAUUGCACAAUGGAGGAAACUCUGAUGCAGCGACGCCGCGUGAGUGAAGAAGUAGUUCGCUAUGUAAAGCUCUAUCAGCAGGGAAGAUAGUGACGGUACCUGACUAAGAAGCUCCGGCUAAA